UUACAGGACGGUCCAUGUGUAUAAGAACGGUUCUGACCGGCCUGACAAACAGAACCAGGAUUACAGAGACCGAACUGAGAUGAAUGACGACCUGCUGAAAGCUGGAGACCUCAGUCUGACCCUGGAAUCCCCCAAAGAGAGAGACACAGGAACAUACUGCUGCAACGUCUACAACAAGGAGGGAAACUUCCUGAGAGAGAAAAUAGUGGAGCUCAAAGUCAGAGGGAGAACCAGGAACAGAAGCAGCUCCAUUGAUCCAACUCCUCUGAUGGCUGAUCAAUCUGUUUGAUUGGUCUGUUGAUCAAUCUUUGAUUAUUGAUCUUGUUGAAGGGGCUCAAAGGAAGAGAAUGUCAACGUUCAGCUUUCAGUGUUUCCUCUCUUCAUCGUCUGAAUGAACCUGCAGUCCAUACUGUGAUUGAUUGAUUGAUUGAUUGAUUGAUUGAUUGUUCUCAUGUAGCUCUAUAAUGUUUCUCUGAUGUUUGUGUAUUCAGCUUCUAUACAUAUAUAUCUGGCUGUGUCUCAGGAGGUAGAGCGGGUCGUCCACUGAUCAGAAGGUUACUGGUUCGAUCCCCGGCUCCUCCCGCUGCAUGUCGAAGUGUCCUUGAGCAAAAUACUGAACCCCAAACUGCUCCUGAUGCUGAAUCACUGUAUGAAUGAGUGAAUGUGUGAAUGAGUGAAUGUAUGAAUGAGUGAAUGUGUGAAUGAGUCAGCUGAACUGUUCUCAUGUGUUUGAAUCCAUAAAGUGUUGUGAGCAGAUGAGUUAUGGAUUCGAUCAUUUCACACUCUGUUUAGAGAAUGAUGAAUAUUGAGGAGAACAACUGUAAAUAAAGCUCAAAUGUACAGAAAUCAUUUCUCCACUCUGACAGCAUCAUGAAAAUGGAUCUAAAGCUGUGAGAAUGAUGGAUUCAGGAGGCAUCAAAACUUUGAUUACUACUCUCUUCUGAAAUAACAAAACUGCUCAGUGUGACGGCCUUAUUGUGUUCCUCUUGCUUGGUUGUUUACUCUUUGUUUCAGGUAGUAAGGGGUGGAGCUGAGAUUACUCUCUGCUGCAGCUCACCUGAGCAGACUCUCUCACUCUCUUCCUCUGGCUGCUGACUGAACUGUUGGGUUUUGUUUGUGUUCUGGGUUUUACAUUCAUACAUAUACACCUCACCCUUCACUCACAUAUUAAACUGUACUGAUUAUUUUGGUGUUUACUUCAUUAAAUUGUCAUAACAAUUCA